ACUCCUACGGGAGGCAUCAGUGGGGAAUAUUGCGCAAUGGGCGAAAGCCUGACGCAGCAACGCCGCGUGCGGGAUGAAGGCCUUCGGGUUGUAAACCUCUUUCACCAGGGACGAAGCGCAAGUGACGGUACCUGGAGAAGAAGCACCGGCCAACUACGUGCCAGCAGCCGCGGUAAUAC
rnacentral:rRNA from 1 species